rnacentral:rRNA from 1 species
CAGUCGAGAGGGGAAGGACCUGCUUCCUUCGAACCCAGUACCAAGGCGUGGCAAGCUAUGUUUUGGAUACCCCCAGCAUGAUAGUAAACUGUAGCAUUGUGAACGAUAACUACUAACGGAUAACGACUUCACGGCGAAGAGUUGGACAGUCUCAUCCCAACUAAUACGAGAUGUAAAGAGUCGCCAAGGUCACGAGCGGUGGCUCCUCUUAGAAUAUGCACUGUCACACUGGGGGUGGCAAGACUCCCAAGCCCCUCCGGGACUGAGACACGGCCCAUAUUCCUCCAGGGGUAUCAGCGGGAGCCUCCUUUGCCUUGUGAGCGAGACCGAUGCAAACAUUGUACAGGUCUUUUGUGCGUGUACGAGGAUGUCACCAACCUCUCUACUAAGCGGCGGGUGACUUCGUGCCAACACCCGCCGCUAGACGAUACGAGCUAACGAAGCUCGCACUCACUAGGCGUCAAGGGGGCGUAAGUAGGUCAUAAAGUUCGGGCGUGAAUCCAAGUAAGUCACCUCAAGAACUGCCUGUGGUACUGAACAUCUUGAGUUCAGAAUAGUUGAGUUGAACUGGGAGUGCCCACGUGAAAUACUUACAUAUAUCGCUUGCAGAACCGGGGGCGAAAAUUGAGCUCAUCUCGCCCAAAACAUGACCUUGUUAUUCCGGAGAACAAGCCGGAGGGAAAUAAGGAUCUAUUUUUGCCUGGAAGCGCCUACGCCCCGUAGCCAAAAACAUUGUUUGGCCCGUUAGAGGGAGGUUUUACUUUCCCCCGGGG